rnacentral:rRNA from 1 species
UACGGAGGAUGCGAGCGUUAUCCGGAUUUAUUGGGUUUAAAGGGUGCGUAGGCGGGCUGUCAAGUCUGUGGUGAAAAGUCAGGGCUUAACCUUGAUCGUGCCGCGGAAACUGACGGUCUUGAAUAGGGAUGCCGUUGGCGGAAUGUGGAGUGUAGCGGUGAAAUGCAUAGAUAUUCCACAGAACACCGAUUGCGAAGGCAGCUGACGAAUCCCCGAUUGACGCUGAGGCACGAAAGUGCGGGUAUCGAAC